rnacentral:rRNA from 1 species
UACGUUCCCGGGUCUUGUACACACCGCCCGUCACACCAUGGGAGCGGGUUUUACCAGAAGUAGGUAGCUUAACCGCAAGGAGGGCGCUUACCACGGUAGGAUUCGUGACCGGGGUG